AGAGUCAGCUGGGCAAUUGCUGUUCUGAUGCUUUCAUUUUGUCUAUUGACGGGUGUAAGGGGUUUGGGCAGAGGAAAGUCCGGGCUCCAAAGAGCAGGGUGCCAGGUAACGCCUGGGGGGUGUGAACCCACGGCUAGUGCAACAGAAAAUAUACCGCCUGAAUUAAAAUCUUCGAUUUUAAUCAUGGUAAGGGUGAAAAGGUGCGGUAAGAGCGCACCGCGCAACUGGCAACAGUUUGUGGCAUUGCAAACCCCACUCGGAGCAAGGCCAAAUAGGAAUCUUUCAAUGUUGCUCGCAUAGGAUUCGGGUAGGCCGCUAGAGGCCUGUGGUGACGCAGGUUUUAGAUGAAUAAUUGUCCUCGACAGAACCCGGCUUAUAGGCUGACUCUAUUU
rnacentral:RNase_P_RNA from 1 species